rnacentral:tRNA from 1 species
GUUGCCGUAGCUUAACUAAUACCAAAGCACGACCCUGAAGUUGCCGUUAUGGAAGCCACUUUUUCCCGGAAACA